UCAAAGCAUGUGUAUGAGAUUGAUUUAGAAUCAACUUAAAGAUACUUAUAUUCCAUUACAUGAAAGCUUGAUGCUUGAAACAAAAUAUUCAGAUCACUUGGUGAUAGCAUACAUUGGCUUUAAAAGACGGAUUAUAUUAGCAUAGAUGAAUGGUGUAUAUAGUGCUUGCCCGUUAACCAUUGCUCGAGUCUUGUACCUGCCAUCGGCAGAAAGGAAAGAAGCUACGACCCAGGCGGAGGAACAACCUAGCCGCACACUACAGACAGGAUCAGAGGCCUAUAGAGGAACAAAAAGAAUCAAGCGACUGUGUAUAAAACAAUAAGAUGGUACACUUUAUUAAUUAUUUUUCUAGCUGUUUUUCCUUUAUCAACAAGCAGCACGUAUUAGUUGGGUAAGCAAUAACCAGGUGGUACACUUGAUAUUGGAACCCCCAUACAUUUAUUAUCUCUAUUCAUUCAAAGAACUAACCCGAGCAGGCAUUGCAAGACUAUUAAGAAUCCGUAUGAAACUAAGAAAAGUGGGCAUCCUCUAUAAACAUGGAUAUCGACCAAUGGCAUAUGAGCACACAAUCACCCAGGAAGAAAACCACCAGGACAAGCAUAAGUAAACAAGAACACAUUUUUUCUAACAAGAUAUGAAGGAAAACCCAUACAAAGCACGGCAAACAUAAUAGGUGAACCGUGAAACACAUAGACAUGCAACCUAGCCGCACCAAUGCAGGAGUUCAUGGCCUAUAUUAUCAAGAAGUAAUAAGCCAAGGCAAUCUGAGCAGAUCUAACCUUGUUGGUUAACAGCAUGGUCGAAUGAACCAACAAAGAACCUGCACAGGCAGAGAAACAUGCAACGCAAAAUGUUUCAGCUCACAGGCAUUUCAUCGAACAGGAGGCGG
rnacentral:lncRNA from 1 species